CCAAGACAUCAAAACAAUUUCAGACAUAGUUAUGAUGACACCCAAAUCCAGGACGGUGGAGGUUAGGGUGGUGGAGGUGAGCUUUGCCAGCAGCAGCGGUGUGAGGCAGCAUUGGAGUAGCAGGAAGCAGAGAGGAAUAGGGAGACAUUUAAAUGGACCGCCUGAUGUGAAAAUGGCUGUGAUUGGUUGUGACUGGCUGGAAUGAUAAUUCAAUUAGUGGACCUAUGACUUCCGUGUCCUGCAUGAACUAACGCAAUGCUUAAUUAUUCAUUUAGUUAGCAAUAAUGU